rnacentral:tRNA from 1 species
GGCCCGUUAGUCAAGUGGUUAAGACACCGCCCUUUCACGGCGGUAACAUGGGUUCGAAUCCCGUACGGGUCACCA